rnacentral:rRNA from 1 species
AUGACUCGGCUGGCGGCUUCCGGGAAACCAAAGUUUUUCGGUUCCAGGGGAAGUAUGGUUGCAAAGCUGAAACUUAAAGGAAUUGACGGAAGGGCACCACCAGGAGUGGAGCCUGCGGCUUAAUUUGACUCAACACGGGAAAACUCACCCGGCCCGGACACUGGAAGGAUUGACAGAUUGAGAGCUCUUUCUUGAUUCAGUGGGUGGUGGUGCAUGGCCGUUCUUAGUUGGUGGAGUGAUUUGUCUGGUUAAUUCCGAUAACGAACGAGACUCUAGCCUACUAAAUAGAUCUUGGCAUUUUUACUGUCGAGAAGCUUCUUAGAGGGACAAACGGCGUUUCAGCCGUAUGAAAAAGAGCAAUAACAGGUCUGUGAUGCCCUUAGAUGUCCGGGGCUGCACGCGCGCUACACUGAAGAGAUCAACGCGCAUCUGCUUCCUACUCCGAAAGGAGCGGGAAACCGAGUGAACCUUUUUCGUGCUUGGGAUUGGGAAUUGUAAUUAUUUUCCAUGAACGAGGAAUUCCCAGUAAGCACAAGUCAUCAGCUUGUGUUGAUUACGUCCCUGCCCUUUGUACACACCGCCCGUCGCUACUACCGAUUGGAUGUUUUAGUGAGGUCUUCGGACCGGCCGGCGCAACGGCUCUCGUGGUUGUCACGCUGUGCUAGAAAGAUGACC